CAUCCAGCAGCAUCAUGGUGGAGCAAGAGGGAUUAUCGUCAUGCGGGCACCCUCCUCCGGAAAACCGUUAUUCAGCGAUAGUUAUGACCUCCCGGUUACGUGCGUUGGGUGGAAGAAUUAAUAAUAUACGCACCUCAGAAUUACCCAAAGAGAAAACUCGAUCCGAAGUCGUCUGCAGCAUCCGCUUUCUAGAUGGCUUGGUACAGACCUUUAAAGCUAAUAAACAAGAUACCGGUCAAGUUCUUCUGGAUAUGGCAUACAACCACCUGGGUGUGACUGAAAAGGAGUUUUUUGGUUUGCAGCAUGGAGAGGACUCAGUAGACUCUCUCAGAUGGCUGGAAUCAAGCAAACCCAUCAGGAAACAGUUGAAAGGAGGUUUCCCCUGUACUCUGCAUUUUCGAGUAAGAUUUUUUAUACCUGAUCCCAACACACUACAGGAAGAACAAACCAGGCAUUUGUAUUUCUUACAACUGAAGACGGAUAUUUGUGAAGGAAGGUUAACCUGCCCUCUUAACUCGGCAGUGGUUCUAGCAUCCUAUGCAGUACAAUCUCAUUUUGGAGACUAUAAUUCUUCCAUUCAUCAUCCGGGCUAUCUUUCCGAUAGUCAGUUUAUCCCAGAUCAGAACGAUGACUUUUUAACGAAGGUGGAAUCCCUCCAUGAACAGCACAGUGGGCUAAAACAAUCAGAGGCUGAAUCUUGCUUUAUCAACAUAGCCCGGACCCUCGACUUCUAUGGCGUGGAGCUGCACAGCGGUAGGGAUCUGCACAAUUUAGAGCUAAUGAUUGGGAUUGCUUCUGCGGGCAUCGCCGUGUACCGAAAAUAUAUUUGCACAAGUUUCUAUCCUUGGGUGAACAUUCUAAAAAUUUCUUUCAAGAGGAAAAAGUUCUUCAUACAUCAGCGACAAAAACAGACUGAAUCCAGGGAACAUAUCGUGGCCUUCAACAUGUUAAAUUACCGAUCUUGCAAAAACUUGUGGAAGUCCUGUGUCGAGCAUCAUACGUUCUUCCAGGCAAAGAAGCUACUACCUCAGGGAAAGAAUGUUCUGUCCCAGUACUGGGCUAUGGGCUCUAGGAACCCCAAAAAGUCUCUAAGUAACCAGUAUUGCAAAAAGGUGAUUGGAGGGAUGGUGUGGAACCCAGCCAUGCGGAGAUCAUUAUCGGUGGAGCACUUAGAAACCAAGAGCCUGCCUUCUCGGUCCCCUCCCAUCACUCCCAACUGGCGAAGUCCUCGGCUCCGGCACGAAAUCCGAAAGCCUCAGCAUUCUUCUGCAGAUAACCUUGCGAACGAGAUGACCUACAUUACCGAAACCGAAGAUGUAUUUUACACGUACAAGGGCUCCCUGUCCCCAAAAGACAGCGAAUCCGAGGUUUCUCAGAACCGAAGCCCGCACCUAGAGAGUAUAUCCGAGAACAAUCCAGCACAAAGCUGCCUGACCCAGAAGUCAUCCAGUUCUGUGUCUCCAUCUUCAAAUGCUCCAGGCUCCUGCUCACCAGACGGCGUCGAUCAGCAGUUCUUAGAGGAUUUCCACAGGGUGACCAAAGGGGGCUCCACCGAAGACUCCAGCCAGUACUACUGUGACAAGAAUGAUAAUGGUGAUGGCUACUUAGUUUUGAUCCGUAUCACACCAGAUGAAGACGGAAAAUUUGGAUUUAAUCUGAAGGGAGGAGUGGAUCAGAAGAUGCCUCUUGUGGUGUCAAGGAUAAACCCAGAGUCACCUGCGGACACCUGCAUUCCUAAGCUGAACGAAGGGGAUCAAAUUGUGUUAAUCAAUGGCCGGGACAUCUCAGAACACACCCAUGACCAAGUGGUGAUGUUCAUCAAAGCCAGCCGGGAGUCCCACACGCGGGAGCUGGCCCUGGUGAUCAGGAGGAAAGCUGUGCACUCAUUCGCUGACAUCAAAUCUGAAGAUGAACUGAACCAGCUUUUCCCAGAGCCCAUUUUCCCCAUUUGUCCAGAGGGUGGGGACACCUUGGAGGGAUCCAUGGAACAGCUAAAGAAGGGCCUUGAAAGCGGGACAGUGCUGAUCCAGUUCGAGCAACUCUACAGAAAGAAGCCCGGUCUGGCCAUCACGUUUGCAAAGCUGCCUCAAAAUUUGGAUAAAAACCGAUAUAAAGAUGUGCUGCCUUAUGACACCACCCGGGUCUUAUUGCAGGGAAAUGAAGAUUAUAUUAAUGCGAGUUAUGUGAACAUGGAAAUUCCUGCUGCUAACCUUGUGAACAAGUACAUUGCUGCUCAGGGUCCCCUGCCACACACCUGUGCACAAUUUUGGCAAGUCGUCUGGGAUCAGAAGUUAUCACUCAUUGUCAUGUUGACAACUCUCACAGAGCGAGGGCGGACCAAAUGUCACCAGUACUGGCCUGAUCCUCCUGAUGUCAUGGAACACGGCCACUUUCACAUCCGAUGUGUGUCCGAGGACUGUACCCUCGCUUACGUGUUCCGAGAAAUGCUGGUCACCAACACUGAGACUGGGGAAGAGCACACUGUGACCCAUCUGCAGUACGUCGCGUGGCCUGACCACGGCGUUCCUGAUGAUUCCUCAGACUUUUUGGAGUUUGUGAACUCUGUGAGGUCCCUGCGAGUGGAUGGUGAACCCGUGUUAGUUCAUUGCAGUGCUGGAAUAGGCCGCACCGGUGUGCUGGUCACCAUGGAAACAGCGAUGUGCCUAACUGAGAGAAACCUGCCUGUUUACCCACUGGAUAUUGUCCGGAAAAUGCGAGACCAGCGUGCCAUGAUGGUGCAGACAUCAAGCCAGUACAAGUUUGUAUGUGAAGCAAUUCUUCGUGUUUAUGAAGAGGGCUUAGUCCAAAUGCUGGAUCCCAGUUAAGACAACUGUGAAAAUGUUCAUUCCUCUCUCCCAAGGACAUCCUCCUUAAGGACAGACCUUCUCUCUGGAAGCAGCAAGAGGAAAUUUGUAGGCUGCGGGGAAGGAAUGAGCACAUUUGAACCCAGGCACUUUAAAGUUCUCUAGAAGAGGUAUCGUGUACAUAGGAACUGUGUAGAUACGCAUGCAGUUACAGCUACAUUUAGGCCCGUUUGUCCUCAGAUAUAAGCAAAAAGGGAUCUCAGUUUGGGGCCUGUCCUAUUGCCUUCCUCCCGUGUUCCUGUAAACCAUCCUGGGGCAGUUGAGAGGGGAGGCCAGCGGUGCUGUUGGCCUCCCAGAAACAAGAGGGUGUGGCUGUUUCGAGUUGCUUGGCUGUUUUGUGUGUAUAUGUGUAUAGGACUCUAAGGGCUGAGCUUUCUGAGUUUUCUGUGCUUCAAGGCAGAGCUGGAACCAUUAGCGUUCACCCACCGAUGCUAAGGGAACCCUGAUGAAUGUACUCAGUGGCAGGGUGGUGGGAUUUCAGGCUGAAGGGCGGGCAGCACCUUUUCUGCCCUGCCUUCCUCUGCCCCAUCUCCCUCCCACUUCCCAUAGUCGUGUUUCUGAGAAUCAUGUCCAAAAUGCCCCGCUUGCUCCCUGCAUCAGUGACCCUGUUCAGGGGCUCGCACAGUGCCUGGCCCGGCUUAGCACCGUAGGUUCAGGUGAGUUCUCAGCUGAGACUCUGAGAACGAAGACCCCGGUGUGUCUUGUCAUCUGUCGUCAGGAGUAGGGUGCGUCUCGCCUCUGCUUGCCCCUUGCUAUGCCUGCGGAACCCAAGACUGGAAUUACCGACUACUGAAUCUACUACAUGGAUUGCUGCUACUUCAGGCUAUUAAACUUGAAGCACGACGAUUUUCCUGAGGGGAGAUGGGUAUCAUCUAAAUAUUCAGAACCUUUGGCCCUUCUGAGGAAAGAGCUAGUCACGGAACCAUGGGAAACCCAGCUUCUACGGGCUUGUCCGUGGAUGUGUGUGCGCGCGCACCCAUGGCCCGUAGUUCAGACCCAGCAGAUAUUACUAGCAACAAAAUUCAUGAAAUACUGGGGAAGAACAGGACAGGAGAAUUAUCUGAAGGAGCAGAAUACACGAGCAAAUAUUACUGCGGAUACAGCUGAUUAAAUUCUGUGCCUCUGCAUUCCUGCUUCAAUACUUUGUACGUUUAAGCAAUUAUACUUAAGCCUCUUUGAGUCGUAAGUGAAAAGCAUCAAAAUGGAAUAUUUUGCCUGGAAAAUUUGGCUGGAUGUGAACAGAGAAAACAUUUUACAUCUGUGUUUUGUUCUCUGGAAGAUCUGAUCAGACCCACUGAUGUGCUGACUUAAGAUGGGGCAUCCCUCCCUGUGUCCCUAUUGAAACUGCACUUGGUGUUUUGACUUCACAGGAAAAAAAAAAAAGAUGGAACUCAGUUUGGCUGGGGGAGGUCAGGAUGCGGGGUGUUCUGUCA